UACGAAGGGGGCUAGCGUUGCUCGGAAUUACUGGGCGUAAAGGGCUCGUAGGCGGCCAACUAAGUCAGACGUGAAAUCCCUCGGCUUAACCGGGGAACUGCAUCUGAUACUGGAUGGCUUGAGUUCGGGAGAGGGAUGCGGAAUUCCAGGUGUAGCGGUGAAAUGCGUAGAUAUCUGGAGGAACACCGGUGGCGAAGGCGGCAUCCUGGACCGACACUGACGCUGAGGAGCGAAAGCCAGGGGAGCAAACGGG
rnacentral:rRNA from 1 species